CCCGAAAACGUGUCCCUGUAUGAUGACCUGGGAGUGGAGAUCAGUGACUCAAAAACCGAAGGCUGGUCCAAAAACUUCAAACUUCUGCAGUCCCGGUUUCAGGUGAAGAAGGCAGCCCUCACUCAAGCGAAGAGCCAGCGGACAAAACAAAGUCCAGUCCCUGCCCCCGUCAUUGACCUAAAGCGAGAGGGAUGCUCUGAUGACCGACAGAUUGUGGACACACCACCUCACGUAGCCGCUGGGCUGAAGGACCCUGUUUCCUGUGGGUUUUCCGCAGAAGUGCUGAUUCCUUAGCUGAUGAAUAUGAUCCUGUUUCCUAAUGACUAUGAGAAAGUGGUGAAACGCCACAGAAGAGCGGGAACGGCAGCGGGAGCUGGAGCGGCAGAGGGAAACAGAAGGGAGAAGAGGCGUAAAGACAGGCAUGAAGCUAGUGGGUUUUCAAGGCGACCAGACCCAGAUUCUGAUGAAGAUGAAGACUACAAGCGAGCGAGAGCGGAGGAAAAGAAGCAUGGGAGGAGCUGCCAUGGCGCCAUCUACUUCUCUUGUAGAGAAAGACAAGGAAUUACCCCUAGAUUUUCCUUAUGAAGAGGUCUCCAGACCUCCAUCACAGUCUUCCAAAGCUGCUAUUCCUCCCCCGGUAUGUGAGGAACCUGAUACACCAAGAUCUCCAACUGGGCCCAGCAACACCUUCCUUGUUAACAUGGGUGGCACAGUAGUACAUAAGAUCAUGCAGAAGUACGGCUUCCGGGAAGGCCAGGGCCUGGGGAAGCAUGAGCAGGGGCUGAGUAAGGCACUGUCGGUGGAGAAGACUAGCAAGCUGGGCGGCAAGAACAUCGUGGGUGAUGCCACGGGAAGGGCGAGUCUCAGGAUGCAUCCAAGAAGUCGGAUUCAAAUCCUUUCCUACUAAAGUGGUCUUGCUGUGGAACACGGUUGGUGCGGGAGAGGUAGAUGAACACUUGGAAGUUGAAACCAAGGAAGAAUGUGAAAAAUAUGGCAAGAUUGGAAAAUAUGUGAUAUCUGAGAUUCCUGGUGCCCCUGAUGAUGAAGCAGUAAGGAUGUUUUUAGAAUUUGAGAGAGUUGUAUCAGCAAUUAAAGCUGUUGUUGAUCUGAAUGGGAGGUAUUCUGGUGGACGGGUGGUUAAAGCAUGUUUCCACAACUUGGAUAAAUUCAGGGUGUUGGAUCUGGUGGAACAAGUUUGAUUUUAAGAGCUAGUCAUCUCCAAUGAUCCUUAAUGAGCUGCAGACUGAGCGAUGAAACA